UACGAAGGGGGCGAGCGUUGUUCGGAAUUACUGGGCGUAAAGGGCGCGUAGGCGGCCGAUCAAGUCAGGUGUGAAAGUCCUGGGCUUAACCUGGGGACUGCAUUUGAUACUGAUUGGCUUGAAUGCAGGAGAGGAUAGCGGAAUUCCCAGUGUAGAGGUGAAAUGCGCAGAUAUCAGGAGGAACACCGGUGGCGAAGGCGGUUCUCUGGGCAUGUCCUGACGCUGAGGAGCGAAAGCGUGGGGAGCGAACAGG
rnacentral:rRNA from 1 species